UUCGGUACAUUUUGACGCAACUAUAGACUCGCUUGCACGCUGCUGGCGACCCUGCCAGAAUCUAGAAGUCGGUCAAAGUCAGCAGCGCGGUGUUUUAGACUCUCGGUCAAAGGUUCUCAUUGGGAAAUCAAGCUGCGGUUAUUCAGUCUUCCCUCUACAUGUGAACGGAAAUGGGACAUUUCACUUGCUCGGUCGGGGCGCACACUCACGAUGAUUAUUUCAAAUUUCCUCUCGACGACGACGACGUCGACUAAUAAGUUUGUGUAAACUUUUCUUCUUCUCUCAUUCACGAGAAGAACCAUUAUCGUAAUAACCGUUUUACUUCUUUUUAUUUUAUUUCUUCUAUUUUAUUUUUAGAAAAAACAACGACGACGAUUGUCCAUUAGUCGGCGUGCAAUCCCAGCCUUCUGCCGCCGCUCCGUCUGUCGUCGCUGGCUGUUUGUCUGCGUUCGUGUAGAUAUACGUAGAGUGUGUGGUGGAUUGCCCGUUCACACGUCACGGGUCAUGCUUCAAUAUUUGCCUAGAGCCACAAAAAAAAAUUCUAUUUUGGUAUUUAAAGAAUUAAGAAUUUCGGGAUAGGCGCAUAUGGUCCGUUACGCUUUAUGUUUUCUUAUUUUUUCAUUGCCAUUUUGUUUUAUAUCAUUUCAUUUUAUUUCAUUGUUGCUAUCCUCGGUUCCUCCCUAUAUCUUGUAUGGGCGACGUUUGUCGCACAGGUGCGGAGUGCCUAUGUAGAGUCCCAUUUGGUUUUCUGGCUGUUAUAUACCGUGUUGCGUGCUGUACACGCCGACGAUCAUUAUCUGCCAUUAAUUGUUUCCUGUUGGGCGAGUCUGCUAUAGACAGACGAAAAAAAGUAAAAAUGCCGUCAUCAUCUGGUAUGGGCUCCUUUGCUAAGAAAAAAAGAAAAAAGAAACAAAAAACAAAUUAUAAUAAAACAGUCAAAAUGU